rnacentral:rRNA from 1 species
UCCUUUGGCCACUGGUCAUUAGGAACUGUAGCGUAUAGGUGUAACUGUUCGGCAGUUUUGCUUACCCAAAGUUCCCUUGAGUGGGGCUAUAGUCCAUAGAAGGUGCUAGGCCUGUACGGGUAGUGAAGCUGUCGAUUUGGUUGCUCCUUGGAGUCGAGUUGCCUGGGAACGCAGCUCAAAGUAGGUGGUAGAUUUCAUCUAAGGCUAAAUAUGACCAUGAGACCGAUAGCAAACAAGUACCGUGAGGGAAAGUUGCAAAGAACUUUGAAGAGAGAGUUCAAGAGGGCGUGAAACCGCUGAGAAGGAAACGGAUAGAGUUAACGAAACUUGGUGGCAUUCAUCCGACUAAUGCUACUGCUUGCUGCUUGGCUGUAUCAGCGGUAAAACGUUGGUCGUCCUGUGGCAUUGGUGGUAGUGUUUGGUUGGUGCUUUUGCCAUCGGUAUGUGCCGAGAGGUUCGCCGUGGUGCGUUGAAGCUAGCUAAAGAGGACCGGGCACCUCGUGUGCUUGGAAACCUUUGGUUGGUCGAGGCGUAUCCGCUUGGUGAAUCGUCGCUUCGCUUCUGUGGUGCCUGCAAGUGCGCAGCGGUCAUUGUGUGGUUAGCAUGACUGUUGAGCGGUCGCGUGCGACUUGCUUACAGUUGGUGUUGGCUCAUGGUGGCUUGAUUGCGUUUGCAUCACAUCUCGGUAUGAAAGUUGACCACCUAUCCGACCCGUCUUGAAACACGGACCAAGGAGUUUAGCAUAUGCGCAAGUCAUUGGGUGGUAAACCUAAAGGCGUAAUGAAAGUAAAGAUUGCUUUAGUGCAGUUAAUAUGGGAUCUGUGUGGUUACGGCCACUGCAGCGCACCAUAGCCCCGUCUUUGUUGCUUGCAAUAGGGCGGAGGAAGAGCGCAUACGCUGAGACCCGAAAGAUGGUGAACUAUGCCUGAGCAGGAUGAAGCCAGAGGAAACUCUGGUGGAAGUCCGAAGCGGUUCUGACGUGCAAAUCGAUCGUCU